CGCUGGCGGCAGGCCUAACACAUGCAAGUCGAGCGGUAGAGAGAAGCUUGCUUCUCUUGAGAGCGGCGGACGGGUGAGUAAUGCCUAGGAAUCUGCCUGGUAGUGGGGGAUAACGUUCGGAAACGGACGCUAAUACCGCAUACGUCCUACGGGAGAAAGCAGGGGACCUUCGGGCCUUGCGCUAUCAGAUGAGCCUAGGUCGGAUUAGCUAGUUGGUGAGGUAAUGGCUCACCAAGGCGACGAUCCGUAACUGGUCUGAGAGGAUGAUCAGUCACACUGGAACUGAGACACGGUCCUGACUCCUACGGGAGGCAGCAGUGGGGAAUAUUGGACAAUGGGCGAAAGCCUGAUCCAGCCAUGCCGCGUGUGUGAAGAAGGUCUUCGAAUUGUAAAGCACUUUAAGUUGGGAGGAAGGGUUGUAGAUUAAUACUCUGCAAUUUUGACGUUACCGACAGAAUAAGCACCGGCUAACUCUGUGCCAGCAGCCGCGGUAAUACAGAGGGUGCAAGCGUUAAUCGGAAUUACUGGGCGUAAAGCGCGCGUAGGUGGUUUGUUAAGUUGGAUGUGAAAUCCCCGGGCUCAACCUGGGAACUGCAUUCAAAACUGACUGACUAGAGUAUGGUAGAGGGUGGUGGAAUUUCCUGUGUAGCGGUGAAAUGCGUAGAUAUAGGAAGGAACACCAGUGGCGAAGGCGACCACCUGGACUAAUACUGACACUGAGGUGCGAAAG
rnacentral:rRNA from 1 species